rnacentral:rRNA from 1 species
GACGUAGGGGGCGAGCGUUGUCCGGAUUUAUUGGGCGUAAAGCGUGCGUAGGCGGCUGCGCAAGUCGGGUGUGAAACCCCGGGGCUCAACCCCGGAACUGCAUCCGAUACUGCGUGGCUAGAGGUAGGUAGGGGAGAUCGGAAUUCCUGGUGUAGCGGUGAAAUACGCAGAUAUCAGGAGGAACACCGGUGGCGAAGGCGGGACUCUGGGCCGAUACUGACGCUGAGGAGCGAAAGCGUGGGGAGCGAACAGG